AUUGAGAGAUAAUUGAAUCAUGGGGCAGUUAUCUCCAUGCUGUUCUUAUGAUAGUGAGUGAGUUCUCACAAGAUCUGAUGGUUUUGUAAGGGGCUUUUCCCUUUUACUUGGCACUUCUCCUUCCUGCCAUCAUGUAAAGAAGGAUGUGUUUGCUUCCCCUUCUGCCAUGAUUAGACAGUGUUUUGCUUUGUUGCCUGGGCUGGAGUGCAGUGUCCUGAUCCUGGCUCAUUGCAGCCUUGAAAUCCUGGGUUCAAGUGAUCCUCCUGCCUCAGCCCCAUGAGUGGCUAGGACUACAGGAAUGCACCACCACAUCCAGGUUUGUGAACAUCCCACAUGCAGAGAAUGGAUCUAUGGAAACGGCACUGCUCCAGAGACUGCGCUGAACCAGCAAACAAUAAACUGUGAUAACAAGCAGGGAGCUCUGUCCCUGAGAACACCUCACAGAAAGACUGAAACCACAGUUGCUGACCUGAGAUGGGAGCAGGAGGUGGAAACUGGAAGGCAGUAGUCUAACAUGAGAGCUGAAGAGGCUACACAGAGAUGGGAAGACCUUCUAAUGCACUGAUCAUUGGUUGUCUCACGUGGUUAAGCAGAUUAUCACACCACCUGCAAAUAAUUACAGUUUUGUCUUUUUCUUCCCCAUAUUUAUACCUCUCAUUUUAAAAUUUAUUUUGUAUCAUUUUGUCUAGGGACCUCAGUACAAUUUUAAAUAAUCAUGGUUACAAUAACCAAAUGUAUCCAGCUUAGAUGGAAAUGUCAGUGUUUCAACAUUAAGUAUGCUGUUUAUUAUAGAUUGCAGCAGAUACCCUUAUCAAAUUCAAAAAGGUUGGUUCUAGUGCUAAUUGACUAAGAGUUUUUUUUUUCUUUCUUUCUUUUUUGUUUUGGUUUAAAAUUAGGAGUGUAUCAGUUUGUCAGGGUUCUCCAGAGAAACAUAACCAAGAAGAUGAAUGAUGGAUGGAUAUACAUGGAUAGAUGGAUGGAUGAAUGGAUGGAUGGAUGGAUGGAUGGAUGGAUGGAUAGACAGGCAGGCAGGCAGACAGAUGGACGGAUAGAUAGACAGACAGACAGAGAGACAGAUAGAUAGAUAGAUAUUUUAAGGAACUGGCUUACACCAUUGCAGAAGCUGGCAAAUCCAAAAUCUGCAGGGUAGGCUUGCAGGUUGGAGACUCAAGGAAGACCCAAUGCAGCAGUUUGAGCUUGAAAACGGUCUGCUGGGAGAAUGUCUUCUUCCUCUGGGGAGAUCAGUCUCUUUUCUCUUAAGGCUUCCCACUGAUUGAAUGAGGCCUACCCACAUUACAAGAGGUAAUCUGCUUUACUCAAAGUCUAUUGAUUUUAAUGUUAAUUUCAUCUAAAAAAAUCUUCACAGAAACAUCUAGAAUAUGUUUGACCAAAUAUCUGGGUACCAUAGCCUAGCCAAGUUGACACAUAAAAUUAACCAUCACAAAGAGUUGGAUUUUAUCAAGCACGUGUUUGGUAUGUAUUUUAUGAUUUUUAUCCUCUGUUAAUAUACUUAAUUUUAUUAAUACAUUUUGAAUAUUAGACUCUCUUUGCACUAAGAGUACCCACACAAGUCUUUACCUAAAUAUUUUUAAAGAUUCUAUUCUAUUUUACCCAAAUAUUUCAAAAGGUUCAAAAUAACAAGUUUUGGCAUGGAUAUUUGAUAUGGAUGUAAAGUGGCAAAGUCUUUUUGGAGAGUACUUUGACAGGAUCUAUAAGAAUUUAAAUGCAUACCUUUGACUUAUUGGUUCUAUUUUUUCUUUUGGAUCCUCAAAAAUACCUUUGCAUAUGAAUAAAGAGGCAUAUGGCAGGCUGUUCAUUAU